GCGAAAGUGGCGGAAUUGGUAGACGCACUGGAUUUAGGUUCCAGCGCCGCAAGGCGUGAGAGUUCGAAUCUCUCCUUUCGCA
rnacentral:tRNA from 2 species